CGUGCCCUUCCUUCUUGAUUCAGAGAUAAAUAAAUGUGUUCUGAAAGUAUGAUUCAUCUCCCAGAACAUCAGAAAAUCUGUACCUUUCUUUGCUUACUUUAAGCAAUAAAUACACGCGUGUGAUUAGAUGUAGGGGUGGGAAGAAAUUACAAAGGUAGUCAUGAGAGAAUUAAGGUUGCUCAUGAUCUUGUAGUCAUGACUGAUAGAACUAUGCCCUUGUAGUCAUGAGUGAAGUAAUGUGCAGCUGCCCAAUUUUUUGGAACUCAACCACUCCAACAUUAAUAUGCCCACUAUGUAGAUAUUUCAGAUUUUGUUACUUCUGAUUAGAAGAACCUUGAGGUUUCGUUGCUGCAGUGCUGAACCACUGCAAAAAGUUUCUUCAGACAUAUCAGGGAAGUGUAGGUAAUAAACUUAUCUUUAAGUACAGGUCGUUUCGACAAUGCCGUGGCAUCCAAUAGAUUGCUCUGCUGAAGGAAAUCAAGGUUUGUCUAUACAUGAGCCAUCUAACACCAGAAACCGAAGUGAUCCGUCCUCAGAAGGUGAACAUGUACCAAGCCAAUUAGCUACAAGAUUUCCUGCUAUCCGUACUCUGACAUCAAUUGCCAUGUUGGAUCAAGGAGAAAGCUCAAAGGGAAGAAAGCGCUCCUAUGAUUCUGCGCGCUAUGCUAGCCUUACACCAGAGCAAAGGAAAGCCAGGAAGGAACGUGAUAGAAUUCGCAGGCAAAGUUUAACGCCCGAGGCCAG